GGGAUCCGAUGGCAGCGAAGGUCUCCAAGGCAUGCGCGAAGGACUCAGGCAUGUCGGCGGACUCUGGCAAGGGAUUCUCGGCCACAACUGUUAGCCACGGCUGGGCAUUUCCUUGGACGAAAGCACAUCGACGGACAGCAGAGGCAGCACGGCGGCGGUGGCAGCAGGUAUGUCUUUUCUUCUCUCUUCCCGUGUAAUGCUUGGGAGUUGGGAUAUCAACCAAAUUUGGCUAUUUAACUGUGAGACCCACGACCAAAUAUGACUAUGCCUCUCUUUUUUAUUUGAAUUUUUGUCCUCUUUAUUUGAAUGGAAAACAGGCAGCAAGCUGGAGAACAAAACGUGAGAAAUGUCACAUUUAAAAAAUAUAUAUAUACAAUAACAACUUACAAAAAUAAUAAUUAUAAUAAUCCCUGUCAAAUAUUGAGGUAUAAAUUCGUUAAUUCGUUAUUUUUUUUUCUUUCUUUUGAAUUGAUUGUCAAAGCGAAUAGUCAAAUUGAGCUCCAUUGGUAAUUGAAUCAAAAGUUCAUAUACUUCAGAAUUGUUUCAUAAUACAAGUCAUAUCAGAUUAUACAUUCAUUUCUGUAAAUUGUAUUCUCUACCUGAAAGAAGAGAUGACAAUUUGAGUCAUAACAAAGCUAUGAAGCUAAAACUACAAUAUCACAUUAAGCUUAACUCCCCUUCCUAAAGCUUACUAACACUAACAACUUGUGUUCAGCUGCUGCAAUUCCAAACUGAGAGAAUUUUGCCGGAGAAGAAGAUCAAAAAUGGCACCAUGGCCAUUAUCCAGGCCAAGAAAUCGACGGAAGAUCUGAAAGAAAUCACUCACAAAGUCUACUUUGGUGUUGAGAUAGAUGGAAAACUAGCUGGGGAAAGCUUUUGGUGAAAGUAGCUUCUCUCUCAGAUGCUCUAUCUCUCUCAUAUCAGGUAUGUACGCAUGUGUGUUUUGGGUUGGGCGGUGCGGGUUUUGACAGAAUGAGUUCAUUAAUUCAUUUAUUUGUGUUAUAAGCUUGUAAGGUUGAGUUUAUGUCUGAUCUUCAUUCCAACCAUUUGUUGAGCAAGUUUUAGAGUUUGAUUUAAUUUUUUGAUCUAUAUUGUGAUUUGGAAAAUAUUUUUUAAAAAUAAAAUAAAAUUUAUAUAUGGUUGUUUCUUGAUAUAAUGUUACACUUAAUGAGUACGACUUCUAUUGUUGGGAUUUUAAUGAGACAAUUAUAGAACCGGGCUUCACAUUUAUGGCUGCUAAUUUUGAUGGAAUACUUGGACUUGGAUUUCAAGAGAUCUUGGUUUGAAAU